rnacentral:rRNA from 1 species
CCUACGGGAGGCAGCAGUGGGGGAUAUUGCACAAUGGGGGAAACCCUGAUGCAGCGACGCCGCGUGUGGGAAGACGGUCCUCUGGAUUGUAAACCACUGUCCCCAGGGACGAAGAUGACGGUACCUGGGGAGGAAGCUCCGGCUAACUACGUGCCAGCAGCCGCGGAAAUACGUAGGGAGCGAGCGUUGUCCGGAAUUACUGGGUGUAAAGGGAGCGUAGGCGGGACUGCAAGUUGGGUGUCAAAUCUACCGGCUCAACCGGUAGCCGCACUCAAAACUGCAGUUCUUGAGUGAAGUAGAGGCAGGCGGAAUUCCUAGUGUAGCGGUGAAAUGCGUAGAUAUUAGGAGGAACACCAGUGGCGAAGGCGGCCUGCUGGACUUUUACUGACGCUGAGGCUCGAAAGUGUGGGGAGCAAACAGGAUUAGAUACCCCAGUAGUC